rnacentral:rRNA from 1 species
AACGAACGCUGGCGGCAGGCUUAACACAUGCAAGUCGAGCGAUGAAGCUCCUUCGGGAGUGGAUUAGCGGCGGACGGGUGAGUAACACGUGGGUAACCUACCUCAAAGAGGGGGAUAGCCUCCCGAAAGGGAGAUUAAUACCGCAUAAUAAUCAGUUUUCACAUGGAGAUUGAUUUAAAGGAGUAAUCCGCUUUGAGAUGGACCCGCGGCGCAUUAGCUAGUUGGUAGGGUAACGGCAUACCAAGGCGACGAUGCGUAGCCGACCUGAGAGGGUGAUCGGCCACAUUGGAACGGAGAGACGGUCCAGACUCCUACGGGAGGCAGCAGUGGCGAAUAUUGCACAAUGGGCGAAAGCCUGAUGCAGCAACGCCGCGUGAGUGAAGAAGGUUUUCGGAUUGUAAAGCUCUGUCUUUGGGGACGAUAAUGACGGUACCCAAAGAGGAAGCCACGGCUAACUACGUGCCAGCCGCCGCGGUAACAC